rnacentral:rRNA from 1 species
GACGAACGCUGGCGGCGUGCUUAACACAUGCAAGUCGAACGGAAAGGCCCUGCUUGCAGGGUACUCGAGUGGCGAACGGGUGAGUAACACGUGGGUGAUCUGCCCUGCACUUCGGUAUAAGCCUGGGAAACUGGGUCUAAUACCGGAUAGGAGCCAUUUUUAGUGUGAUGGUUGGAAAGUUUUUUCGGUGUAGGAUGAGCUCGCGGCCUAUCAGCUUGUUGGUGGGGUAAUGGCCUACCAAGGCGGCGACGGGUAGCCGGCCUGAGAGGGUGGACGGCCACAUUGGGACUGAGAUACGGCCCAGACUCCUACGGGAGGCAGCAGUGGGGAAUAUUGCACAAUGGGCGCAAGCCUGAUGCAGCGACGCCGCGUGGGGGAUGACGGCCUUCGGGUUGUAAACUCCUUUCGCUAGGGACGAAGCUUUUGUGACGGUACCUAGAUAAGAAGCACCGGCUAACUACGUGCCAGCCGCCGCCGUAA